AACAGGAUUAGAUACCCUGGUAGUCCACGCCGUAAACGAUGUCGACUUGGAGGUUGUGCCCUUGAGGCGUGGCUUCCGGAGCUAACGCGUUAAGUCGACCGCCUGGGGAGUACGGCCGCAAGGUUAAAACUCAAAUGAAUUGACGGGGGCCCGCACAAGCGGUGGAGCAUGUGGUUUAAUUCGAUGCAACGCGAAGAACCUUACCUACUCUUGACAUCCAGAGAACUUAGCAGAGAUGCUUCGGUGCCUUCGGGAACUCUGAGACAGGUGCUGCAUGGCCGUCGUCAGCUCGUGUUGUGAAAUGUUGGGUUAAGUCCCGCAACGAGCGCAACCCUUAUCCUUUGUUGCCAGCGGUUAGGCCGGGAACUCAAAGGAGACUGCCAGUGAUAAACUGGAGGAAGGUGGGGAUGACGUCAAGUCAUCAUGGCCCUUACGAGUAGGGCUACACACGUGCUACAAUGGCAUAUACAAAGAGAAGCGACCUCGCGAGAGCAAGCGGACCUCAUAAAGUAUGUCGUAGUCCGGAUUGGAGUCUGCAACUCGACUCCAUGAAGUCGGAAUCGCUAGUAAUCGUGGAUCAGAAUGCCACGGUGAAUACGUUCCCGGGCCUUGUACACACCGCCCGUCACACCAUGGGAGUGGGUUGCAAAAGAAGUAGGUAGCUUAACCUUCGGGAGGGCGCUUACCACUUUGUGAUUCAUGACUGGGGUGAAGUCGUAACAAGGUAACC
rnacentral:rRNA from 1 species